rnacentral:lncRNA from 1 species
GAAACCCCUCCAACAGCACAUCUGAGCUCUGUCAGAAGCAUCAUUUUUGCAACGGAAGAGUGAAUUUAUUAAUGAGUACAGGGGGAAUAACUCCCCAUGGAUAAAAGACUGAUGCUACUAAACGGCUACACAGAAAAUCUACAGAGAAGAUUCUUGAAGAAUGAGCCAGGCUGGAGAAAAGUCCAUGAGAAGAUGGAGAAAAACAUGAAUAGUGCUUGAUGUAGAAGACAUCGCGGGUGACCCAUCCACACCUCCCCAGUCCACUCCAGACAUCACUGCAACUCUGAUGGGCAGACCUAUGCAUUGCUAACAGCAUCCUGCCUCAGGCACCUGCGCCUCUCUCUCCCCAAGGCCUUUCUCUGAAGGUCAGGGCAUUGGUGUACUAGCUACGCUGGAAGUGCUGGCGAGGGGGACAUUUAUGCCCCCAGAAGUAGCCCCCAGAAAAUGAAGAGCAAGAGCUGUUGGAUAAAUACUCCCGCUUCCUUACUCUUCAAGGGAACAAGGCUGAGUUGUGUUAUUCACAGUCUUUCAGAAGCUUCUCUGCAGGAUUGCUUUAGUUUCCCACCAUGAUAAUCCAUCCCCAAAUGCACCCACCAUUGAUUUUCCUCUCUGCUUUGUCUUCUUGGGA